rnacentral:antisense_RNA from 1 species
CUAGACAGAGCAGGUUGCGGGAAUUUAGCCAAUUCAGAGGUCUUGUUCUCCAUAAUCUGGAACUUUCCUUCAGAUUUGAUCAAGUUGGAUAAAGUUGGUCAAACCCAAUGGGAAAAAGAUGAAAACAACAAGAAACAGAAACAAACAACAACAACAACAACAAAACAAAGCAGGAAAAAACUGAAACUCAUCUUCCCUGUUGGAAACGAGCUCAAACUCCAGAAAUGAGCUACCUGCCUUCCAUCACCAUGGAAGCAGGAAAAUUUGCCUUCCUUGUUGGAAGCAAGUAAAACUCCAAAAAAGGAGUUGCACAGCAAAAUAAACUUCAGAUCUCAAC